CCUACGGGGGGCUGCAGUCGAGAAUCUUCGGCAAUGGGCGCAAGCCUGACCGAGCGACGCCGCGUGCGGGAUGAAGGCCUUCGGGUUGUAAACCGCUGUCAGAGGGGAGGAAAUCUGGAGGGGCAAUCCCCUGCAGUUGACCGAGCCUCAGAGGAAGCACGGGCUAAGUUCGUGCCAGCAGCCGCGGUAAUACGAACUGUGCGAACGUUAUUCGGAAUCACUGGGCUUAAAGGGUGCGUAGGCGGCCUGUUAAGCAGGGUGUGAAAUGCCAGGGCUCAACCUUGGCAUGGCGCCCUGAACUGGCGGGCUUGAGUGAGCUAGGGGUGUGUGGAACUUCCGGUGGAGCGGUGAAAUGUGUUGAGAUCGGAAGGAACACCGGUGGCGAAAGCGACACACUGGGGCUUAACUGACGCUGAGGCACGAAAGCCAGGGUAGCGAAC
rnacentral:rRNA from 1 species